UUACAAAUAAUUUAUUCUUAUUUCAUAAAUUUGUUCUUCAGCAAAAAAUGCAGUUAUUUUAUACAGAAUUUCAUAUUCAAGGCUAUACAGAACAAAUAUCUCAGAAAAUCAAAAUCAUAGCAAACAAUACAACAGAAGUGAGUCACAAUUUUGUUCAGCUACAUGCACUGAACUGACCGGGGUGAUAUCUAUUUCUAUAGAUUACUUUAUCAGGUCAUAUGGAAUCAUGAUUAAGUAAUGCUUUUCUGCCAGUAUACACUAUUGAUCUGAAACUGCAUCAUAGUCCAUAUAUGGAAGUUCACACAUCCUGAGAACGCGUCCUCUAGAGCUAGUUAGAUGCAGCUUUUUAGAUGUAGGUGAGGACUGGAGUCAGUCAGGGUAGCCUAAGAAGAAUUAAUUUAGCAAGCAGUGGGGAAAAAAUAUCUUUCUUUAUGCCUGCAUUAUUCAUUACUCCCUUCCUCCUUCAUUAUUAACAUUAAAUAAACUUCAAAAAAAAAGGACAUAAGAAGGUCUCUAUUUGACCACUAUUAAAUCCUUCCUCUGUCUCUGACCUGAGGGAAAAAAUGAAUAUGGUCCUUCAAGUAACACCCUUUACUGUAAAAGGGGACCUGCUGGUUGUACAUUCUAGUAAAUCCGAGUACAGUCAUCGUCUUUAAAUCCUUAGUUUAGGCUGGAUGAACCCCAUAAGGCAGAUGGUUGGAGAAGGCCUAAAUACACGUGGAACCAUUUUAGAAACCUGUCUUCAAGGCUGGAUUUGUGGAAAGUGAAGGCUUCCAGGGUGGUGGAAAUGGUCCAGGAGAGGCCGAAGUGAAGAGAGUUCAGAACCACCACGUGCUUCAUGCAGGUAUGAAGGCAGCCCAAGCACCUCCCAGCCCCGAAGCUCCCAGAGCCUCUACCUGGACCGCGUGGCAAGGGCACACGGCCUUAUCCUCUUUCCACUCUGAAGGAACAAGUGGCAGAGUGUCCAGGGCUGUGCAUCCUACUGGCGUUGUUAUUAACUGUGGUCAUACCCUCAUCACAGUAAGAUGUGCCUCACCUCUUUUUUGGCACCCAUUCGCUUGAUCAGAAUAAUUCUGCUCACAGCCUCCAGAAGAGAAAACCAGCCGGGUAGAAAAGUAGGCCUUCCCUGCUAAGCCUUGCUGAGAAAGCAAAUUCAAUGAAGUUUUAACCAGAAUUUUAAAGACUUUUAAAUUUAGCCUUGUUAUGCACCUAAAACCUACCUGACAUGUUUUCUUCUUUUAAAAAAGAUUUGUAUCCUUCUUUAAACUAUACAUUAUUUACAUUUUAAAAGACCUAUUAGGUCUUUAUCAUUUGGGUACGAGCUCAAGGUGAUUAAACAAACUCCCAGGACAAAGAUGAGGCUUUCCAAAAAGCACUGGUUCUUAUCUAUGUGCUAAGGCCUAUUUUUACUAACAAAUUAUUAUUAUAAACUUCUAAAAUAUAAAAUUAAAAUACUUCUUUAAAAAAUUUUCCUGUGAAUUUUCUUUUUUGCAUCCAGGAUAUUAAAAACAGAUUAUGCUUUCUAAUUAGAGGUGGAAUCAAAAGAACAAAUGAAAUUAACGUGGCCCCAUACUUUACCUAGAAACAAGGGUUUAUUUACACGGUAUCUUUCUCAAUGCUGUGAUGAACCGUGAGAAGCAGGGCUAUCUUUACAGCAUGGCUAAAUAACCAACUGAAGACCCUCCACUCCGCAGCAAGUGCUUAUUGCGUAUUUUGGGUGGAGCUGUAAGGCAUGAGAAAGGUAGCCAGUCACUUUUAUAUAUUUGAGGAUAAUUCUGCACAUUCAAGAAAUUUUCCUUGAGAAAUGCCAUGUUUGGAAUAGCUUCCAGAGAUCAUUCAAGAACAAAAAGUAUUAAAGCUUAUGCAUUACAUUUAGAAGCACAAUACAUUGGGGAACAUCUUCAAAAGCUCAAAGAAAAGGCUGUUUUUCCAUUCAGUUAAAUAGUAAAUAAGUUGCAUAUAGGUGUGUGUUCAGAGCUCUCAAAAGUCACAUCCUGCCACAAUUAACAGCUAGAUGAGCAUGUUUGGCCCCUGAUCUAUAAAUAAACACUCUAAUUCUGCAACUUGCUCACAGAUUUUUAAGAAGCUGUUCUAAAACAAAAAAAGCCUACAAACGGAUUAGAAUCUGCAAACCAGAAAUGCAAUACAUUUGUCCUUUUUGUAAAUGACAGUAACAGAGAGUUGUAUUAGCUUUCUGGAAUAGUGACUAAGAAGAACUGACAUCCAUUUUCACGAUUAAGAAAUAAUUAUUCGUGAUACUGAAGAAGUCAAAUCUCCAAUAAAGAAGGCACGUGGGCUCUCUCCAGUCAUACAGCAGUGCUUAGCCCCAGCACUGCAUGCUUCCUUUUCCAGUUUGCCUAGGCUGGUUCGCUUUUUGCUCGGCGAUAUAUAUCAGAGAACAUUGGCAAUCCCUCAAGAAAAUGAUUCAAAAGGUGAUUUACAACUGGUUGGUGCUAUCCUCUAAUGCCUUUUUGCCUUAUGUCCUAAUUUUAUAGAAAUAAAUUAAGGACAUUAAGCCAGGAGAUAAAUACACUACUCAAAAUAUAAUUGGGCUCUAGUGCUCAAAAGCUACUGGAUAUGUGGGUAAGCUGCCAAAUAAAAUUUCUUACCUACCUAUUUGAACAUUAACACCCUGGAGUUCACAUGCUUUUCUAGAGACAAAAUUUAAGAUUCAAGCGACACUGUUCACAGUUGCCCUAUUCUGGCUGUUUAAAUCUAAUCCUUCUCCUCCCUUUCCCAUGCUUUCUUCUUAUCUUUUUUAUAUCUGACACUUUUUAAAAAUGAUUUUCUCCAGACUUGUUUUUUCUAAGACAUGUUUCAUAAAUUACAACACAAAGAUUUUAGAAGCAAAAAAAGGCUAGAGAACUUUAGUUGAUCUUAGUUAAUUUUGGAGAUUUAAGCAUUCAAGCUCAUAUAAAUGUGGGUUUUUAAAAAUUUUAUUACACUCUCUCUGAAAUUCAGACACUUAAUGACAUCACAGUUUAGGCACUUUGGAUGAGCCACAUUUCAUAAUGGUAAGAAUACUAUUAACCUUCCAAUAGUUAUUGUCAUUAGUGUGUUUAUUAAUUAACAGUGAUGAUAAAUUUUUCAGUUCUAUACAUAUGCCCACUAUUCCCUCACCUGUACUGUGCAUUAAAUUUUCAAGUUAUCUUUAACUAUAGAAGCAGACAAAAAGAAAGAAAGGAAGAAAGAAAAAAGAAACUGAUUGUGGGUAAGUUAGAAUUUUAAUUGAAAUAAGGUUCUAUGCAUUGCACUCACGCUAAUAGAAGAAAAUUCAGUGACUUAGGACAUUCUGUUUAUGACCAAGGUUAGAUUCUGGUCCCUUGGCAGAAAGCCUUUCUGGUGCUUCUAACUCUGUUCCAGCAGAAGACAAAGGGUAACAGCUGUAAUAAUAUGAAUGGAUCCUUGCCCAAUGCCUUACAUACAGUAGGUACUCAAUGAUUACUAAAGGGAUUACAUUAACAAAUGAAUGAACAUCAACUCAAAGGAUGCAGAGAGAGUGAAGUCAGCAGUGGCAAACUUCAACAGAUGAAGAACUAGAUGGUAAAAACCAUUUAAGUGGCUGAUCAUAUUUUAAGAUUUUAUAAUCUAAUUUCAAAGACAGCCAUACCAUACUUUGCUCUAUUUUAAAAUUACAGUCAAUUAAAAGAAUAUGUAAACACACACACACACACACACACACAUUUAGUAUCUAUGUGCUUGGCCAGGCAUCAUAGCCAUGCAAACUAGAAAACACUCACAAUUGAGCAAACAAUUGUCCCAAUAUUCUAACGUCAAUUUGAAAACAGUUCUGUCACCUUGGUCCAAUGGUAAAACCUUGAAAUGCAGAUAACUCCUACCAUCCCUGUCACCUAUUAUAAUUUUGUGCAGAUUAACUAAUUAAAGCUAUGAAGAGUUUUGAAGAUAAAAAUUUCCUGUUUUUUUUUAUUGCUGUUAGCCCUCAGAUUCAGCACCAAAUCCUGGGGAAAAAAAAAAAAAGAUAAAAAU